CCUACGGGAGGCAGCAGUAAGGAAUAUUGGUCAAUGGACGAAAGUCUGAACCAGCCAUGCCGCGUGAAGGAUGACGGCCCUCUGGGUUGUAAACUUCUUUUAUAGGGGACGAAAAAAGGGUAUUCUUACUCACUUGACGGUACCCUAGGAAUAAGCACCGGCUAACUCCGUGCCAGCAGCCGCGGUAAUACGGAGGGUGCAAGCGUUAUCCGGAUUCACUGGGUUUAAAGGGUGCGUAGGUGGGUCUAUAAGUCAGUGGUGAAAUCUCCGAGCUUAACUCGGAAACUGCCAUUGAUACUAUAGGCCUUGAAUUAUCUGGAGGUAAGCGGAAUAUGUCAUGUAGCGGUGAAAUGCUUAGAUAUGACAUAGAACACCAAUUGCGAAGGCAGCUUACUACGGAUAUAUUGACACUGAGGCACGAAAGCGUGGGGAUCAAACAGGAUUAGAUACCCUGGUAGUCCACGCCCUAAACUAUGGAUACUCGACAUACAGCGAUACACUGUUGGUUGUCUGUAGACGAAGACGAUUAAGUUAAUACCACCUACGGAAGGUAACGAACCGACGAAGUUAGUAAACGUUAAAAGUUAAGUAAGUUAGUACGGACGUGAGACGUAGACCGAACGGACGACGACGAGGGAGGAGG
rnacentral:rRNA from 1 species